rnacentral:misc_RNA from 1 species
GAUGAAGAACGCAGCGAAAUGCGAUAAGUAAUGUGAAUUGCAGAAUUCAGUGAAUCAUCGAAUCUUUGAACGCACCUUGCACCCUUUGGUAUUCCGAAGGGUAUGCUCGUUUGAGUGUCAUUGUACUCUCACACUUCUAAUUCCUUACGGGAUUGGGAGCGGUGGACUUGGGUGUUGCUGCUUUAGUUGUGGCUCACCUCAAAUAAGUUAGUGCAACUCUUGGUUGGACAUAGUACGGCGUGAUAAGUGUCUUCGCCGGCGCCUCUGUAAGGAGGGUGGCCGAUCGGGAGCUCUGUGCUUCAAACCGUCUUCGGACAAUCUUUGACAACUUGACCUCAAAUCGAGUAGGACUACCCGCUGAACUUAAGCAUAUCAAUAAGCGGAGGA